UACGUAGGGGCAAGCGUUAUCCGGAUUUACUGGGUGUAAAGGGAGCGUAGACGGCAGCGCAAGUCUGGAGUGAAAUGCCGGGGCUCAACCCCGGAACUGCUUUGGAAACUGUGCAGCUAGAGUGCGGGAGAGGUAAGCGGAAUUCCUAGUGUAGCGGUGAAAUGCGUAGAUAUUAGGAGGAACACCAGUGGCGAAGGCGGCUUACUGGACCGUAACUGACGUUGAGGCUCGAAAGCGUGGGGAGCAAACAGG
rnacentral:rRNA from 1 species